rnacentral:rRNA from 1 species
UACGAAGGGGGCUAGCGUUGCUCGGAAUCACUGGGCGUAAAGGGCGCGUAGGCGGCCAUUCAAGUCAGAGGUGAAAGCCCAAGGCUCAACCUUGGAACUGCCUUUGAUACUGUUUGGCUUGAGACCGGUAGAGGUAAGUGGAACUGCGAGUGUAGAGGUGAAAUCGUAGAUAUUCGCAAGAACACCAGUGGCGAAGGCGGCUUACUGGACCGGUUCUGACGCUGAGGCGCGAAAGCGUGGGGAGCAAACAGG